rnacentral:rRNA from 1 species
AGUGGCGGACGGGUGAGUAACGCGUGGGUAACCUGCCUCAUACGGGGGGAUAACAGUUAGAAAUGACUGCUAAUACCGCAUAAGACCACAGCACCGCAUGGUGCAGGAGUAAAAACUCCGGUGGUAUGAGAUGGACCCGCGUCUGAUUAGGUAGUUGGUGGGGUAACGGCCUACCAAGCCGACGAUCAGUAGCCGACCUGAGAGGGUGACCGGCCACAUUGGGACUGAGACACGGCCCAA